GGAAGGAUCAUUAACACGUAUCGAACGUUAAACCCCGUGCACGUUGACGGCCGUAUGGCAAUCAAGAAAAAUCGGACUUUUGGCAGCUCACGACAGUGUGGGAUUGGUGGCAAGCUAUGUUUCGUUCUGAGCCGAGACAGGGCUUUCUAAUUGGGCUGUUGACAGCAAAGUUUGUUGUGGAUCAUCUGUUUUUCGUGGUGUGGGAUGGCCUGUUGGUGGCUUUGUUUGUUGUGGGUGAUUUGUUUCCCGUGACGUGGAAUUGAGGAGCAGGCGCGCGGUUGUUGAGAUUGGCAAUGACAGAGGGACUAACUGAAUAUCCCGAUGGAGUCGUCUCAGCCUUCUGGGGGGGGCAUGUGUAAUGCAUGUCGUUCCUGGUCGCCCGAAUAACGUUUCUGCGCUUUCAUUCUGUGUUGUGGGGAGUGAGUUGUCUGCGGUGAGCAGAGUUGUUGAUAGACUGUUCUGUGCUGUGGGAGGUGGGUGGUCUGUGGUGAGCAGAGCAGUUGAUGGACCGUCCUGUGUUGUGGUGGGUUGUUGAAGGCGAGAUUUUUCUGGCGAGAAUGUUCUAGCCAAUCAUGGCAUCGGUCUUCUGUGCGAUCUUCUGCGCCUGAUCUGGGGAUGGGAACUAGCCAACCCCCUUUUUGAUUAACUUAAACCGAACUAAUCUGACAAAACUUGUCCGAAAGGACUCGAAACCCGAACAACUGUUAACAAUGGAUAUCUUGGUUCUCGCAACGAUGAAGAACGCAGCGAAAUGCGAUACGUAAUGCGAAUUGCAGAAUUCAGUGAAUCAUCGAAUCUUUGAACGCAAAUGGCGCCCUUGGGUUACCCCUAAGGGCACGCCUCGCUGACUAUCGGUUUAAUCCUCGUAUCCUACCCCUUUUAAGGUGGUGGUGAUAAGCGUUGAGUGUUAGGCAUUCCCUUAACUGAGGAGUGUCUAUCGCUUUAAAAAUAGUCAUUCCACUCAUUGAAUGGCUCUUGCAAGUUGAAUUCAGUUCGCUGAAUGAAGAUUUACAAGAGUCAUCCGACAGUUUCUGGAGAAGAGAAAGAGGGCGCGAAAUUGGCAGCUCGGACAAGGACUGAACUUUGUGAGUAUAGAUGGCAAAAAAAAAAAUUGGAGUCAAGGCGCGGCCGAUGCGAGAAGUGGGUUGUCUUCGGACAGACUGUUUUUUGCUGUGGCAGUGUCGACGAAAAUUUUUACAAGCCUGUCUGUGCGACGCAUGUUUGGGUCUUGGCUUAGCAAAAGCCGAUAUUGUGCUGUCUUUUCCAUCACCGGUCUCGGUUGGCCUUGAGGCAUAGGUUUGCUGGAAAAAGUCGAAAAUCGCAAGGAAAGAAAAUGAAGAACGAAGAUGUCCUUUUUCUGUCUCGCCUUUUUGUAUAAACGCCUUUAGUACAAAAGGGAGAGAGGGGGAAAGUCGCAUCGGAGUUUAUCACCUCUUUUCUUACUCUAAAUCAGAUGUCAGCUGAGGUGGGAAAACCCCCUGAAUUUAAGCAUAUUAUUAAGGGGAGGAAAAGAAACUAACAAGGAUUCCCCUAGUAACGGCGAGUGAAGCGGGAAGAGCUCAAGCCUGAAAUCCCUGAGUGUAACAACCUAGGGAGUUGUGGCCUAUAGACGUUCUCUCAGUGCUGUACCGGUUAUAAAUCCUUUGAAACAGGGUAUCAUAGAGGGUGAGAAUCCCGUCUUUGAGCUGGAUACAAGUGCGUACGAGGAGCGUUCUGAGAGUCGCGUUGCUUGGGAGUGCAACGCAAAUUGGGUGGUAAAGUUCAUCUAAAGCUAAAUACUGGCGAGAGACCGAUAGCGAACAAGUACCGUGAGGGAAAGAUGAAAAGAACUUUGAAAAGAGAGUUAAAAAGUACUUGAAAUUGUUAACAGGUAAGGGCAGGAAACCAGUAUAUUCUUGGGCACAUUUGCGGUCGCCUUACGGUUGCUGUUACUUGUGUUCGGGAGAGUCAUCGUCACUUAGAAUCUUUGGAGAAAGCGUAUAGAUUGGUGCCUUCCUUCGGGUUGGUUUAGUCCGUACGUCCUACAUUGGCUCUGAGUGAGGACGAGAACCCGCACGCUUCGGCGUACGGCGCUCUGUUGUCUGUUUGCCCUAGCGCGUGAGAGAGCAAAGCUCUGUCUGUGCAAAAGGUGAAUACUACGAUGGAAGCGUCAGUUGCAGGGUUCGCGACGAUGACGAAAUGGUUUUCUUCCACCCGUCUUGAAACACGGACCAAGGAGUCUAACAUAUAUGCGAGUAUUUGGGUGACAAACCCUGAUGCGCAAUGAAAGUAAAGUGGGUUUCGGCCCAUGAGGUGGGAAUCUUACCUUCGGGUGGGAGGCACCAUCGACCGAUCGUUCGCUUGCGAAAGAUUUGAGUAAUAGCAUAUCUGUUGGGACCCGAAAGAUGGUGAUCUAUGCCUGAACAGGGUGAAGCCAGGGGAAACUCUGGUGGAAGCUCGUAGCGAUACUGACGUGCAAAUCGUUCGUCUGAUUUGGGUAUAGGGGCGAAAGACUAAUCGAACCAUCUAGUAGCUGGUUCCCUC
rnacentral:misc_RNA from 1 species